rnacentral:lncRNA from 1 species
AGUAAAUCUUAGUGACUCAGGUUCAGAAAAGGAGUGGCUCUCAACCAGGGGCAGUUGUCCCCUCCGGGGAACACUUGCUAAUGUCUGGACACAGUUUUGGUUGUCACGACUAGGCUGGUGAUGCUGGAGCCACAACAACCACCGGAAACCCCAAGGCGAAGACCAGAGAAUCCCAGAGAUGCAGACAGAGACUUCCUAGAGCUACAGAGUAAGCCAAAUUGGAGUUGCCUUUUCUGGACGUCUUGUUAAGUCUGAUGGGGUUCAUCACAUCUGAGCCAGGACUGGCUUUUCUUGGCUGCAAGCUGAAAGUUGGGUCCAGGUCUGCUGUACUGAGGGUCUCCUAUCUUCCUUGGACAGGGACAACCAGAGGCCUAUUUAUCUCAUGAUGGAAGGCAGGAGAACAAGCAGGCAAGACCAGCUGUGCUAGCACAUGCCACCUCUUUGCCCACGUCACACCUGCUGACGUCCCAUUGGCCAAUGCAAGUCACACAACCAAAGCCAACAUCAACAGGACAAGGAAACAGACUCUGCCUCUAGAUGCACAAACUACAGAGUCACGGACAGAGGACACGGAUCCAGGGAAGGAAGAUGGAGAAUGAGAACAAUGACCCUCAAUAACACAGCCUCCCACAGGUUUCCAAAUCCCCAACCCAGGCAUAUAUCCAAGGAAAUGGAAUCAUGGGUUCAGGUUUUAGAGCAAGCAAUUUCUGCUCUCCCUGCCUAGUUUCCACACCCUUAACACAGGGGCAAUGAUGUCACAUCAAAACAUAUCAUACAAAUUUGUGAUGAUGUUUCAACAACUAAACACCAGAAAAAUGCUUAGGGCAGGGCCGGGUAGGAGGGGCAGAAGCCAAUAGUAACUUAACAUCACUGCUAACCCACAAAGUUCUGGGAAUUUCUUUGAAUGUCUAAUUAGAGAACCAUGUCCCCAAGAAUUAACAUUUCUUUUGCUUUUUUUUGAAUCUGAGAAAAUACUAAUUGUCACAGGGUAGAAUAUUUAUCUGAUGAGCAUAUAGAAGUUAAGGGCUCCUUGAAAUCACAGUGCUAGGUUUGGGUCUCAUUCCUCCUCCUACCUGCCUCUCUGAGCCUCAGUUUCUCAUCUGUAGAAUGGGUACAAUCCCAACCUCAUGUGUUUGUGGCAGUCAGGGUUAAUUGGGCUAAUGAUUCUAAAGUGCUCUGCGCAGGCCUGGCAGGUACUGAGCAACCUUGGGCCAUAGAGAGAGCACUGACUUGGGAGUCAGGAGCUGGGACCUCAGGUCCUAUUCCCUGGGGAUCCGGGAAAAGUCCCUUGGCUUCCCUGAGCUUCAUCUGCCCCACGUGCUAGUGAGGUGGCUAGACCAGUCAGGCCAAGGACGUCCCUGCAGCUAUCUAACUUCUCCUUACUCCCUGUUCAGCAAAGGGCAGGAGCUGGGCCUGGCCAGGCUCCCACAAAGCCCAGGCGUGGCCGUGCUCAGCUCACGACGGGUGUGGGGGAUGCGUUUCUGCCCUCAAAGGACUGAGCUCCAGUUUCUUUCUUCACUGAGUCCUUUACUCUCUGCCUGCGGGUGGUUAUUUAAGACAUCUCCUGCCUGCAGGGGCCUCUUAGAGAACAAACAGAUCGUUCCUUCAGCUGCAGUGCAGGCUUUACUGGGCUUGUUCCUGCAUCAAGUAGACAGAUCCUUCCUGAAUGGAGUCGCCCCACAGGCCCCACACUCGGAGAGGGGCAGCCAGGAGCCUCCGAGGCUCUGCCCAGCCCGUCCUGAAUGUGCUCCCUGCCCUGAGUGGAGCGCUCACAGCUCCCCGCAUCAAGGUUUCUGUCUCCCCAAGGAUCUUCCUCAUAAAAACCCUUCUUCUCCCAGAUCCCACAAACCGACAUUAUAAAAAACACAAACACCCAAUAAGCACCAUGUAAAUUGAUCACAUACAAAUAAUAUCCAAAAAUAAGAA